rnacentral:tRNA from 1 species
AGCCCCGGAGCCCCUUAAGGGCUCGUCUUCAAAUUUGCAUUUUGAUGUGAAACACUUCAGGACU